rnacentral:rRNA from 1 species
UACGUAGGGGGCAAGCGUUGUCCGGAUUUAUUGGGCGUAAAGAGCGUGUAGGCGGCCUGACAAGUCUGCUGUGAAAACUCGAGGCUCAACCUCGAGAUGUCGGCGGAAACUGUCUGGCUAGAGUCCGGAAGAGGAGAGUGGAAUUCACAUGAGUAAGGGUGAAAUCUGUUGAUCCAUGGAGGACCACCAAAAAAGGCGAAGGCAGCUAACUAUUCUACUCCUGACACUGAGGCAUGAAAGCGUGGGUAGCAAACCGG